UUAGCGGACCACUGGGAAAGUACAGUGUACAUUGUAGCAAGCAAAAACUGUUCUUUGAACACUUAUGGGAUCCGUCAUCCAGAUACUGGCCGUGUCAAAAUUGUACAUAGGAACCUAUUGAUGCCUGUAAAUUUUUUGCCUUUGCCUGCUUGGGAUGAUUCGGCAUCUCCAGAAGGUAAUUUGAGUUCACAUUCUGUUUCAUCACAUUCUGAUGGUCAAGAAUGUGAAAUUGCGGACAGAACGUCUCAAUGGAUUGCUAACCUGGAUGAGGUUGGAAUGUCGAGUGAUGAUUUGACAAAUGAGGUGAUUGACAAUCGAGACUUUGGCAUCAGUGAUCAUGAAACGGGGACACAAGCUGAACAGGUUGAGGGGUUGGAAUGUCGGAGCUUUUCUGAAGUAGUGUCUGACUGUUCUAUCAGACCUCCGCACAAUAUAAGUGAACACUCCUGUGUAGCUGAGCCUCAAAAUGUUGUUCCGAUUUCUCUUAGUGCCAUGCCUGCUGCUAAUGAUAAUUGUGAAGCUGCAACAGUAGGGGUAGAGGUUCAAGUGGGCUCAUCUCACCAUUCUGCAGAUUUGUGUUCUUUAGCAGGACAGUCCAGUGUGCAACAAGGUACACGCACCAGGUUUGGUAGACUUAUUAAACCUGUGAGCAGACUUUUACAUACAAUGUCCACUCAAAGAGUUUGUCCUGUUAUUGAUGUGUGAAUUUCUAUUUCAAAAGUUUUCUUUGUUGAUUUUUUUUUAUAUGAUAGAUUGUAUACCCGUCAAUUUGUAGAAAUGGACAUGUUUCGAGUGGUCUAAGACGAAGUUGGUUAUUCGGGGAAUUUUUAAAGUGACCAUUUAUUAGUGUGUCAUGAUUAAAAUCGUGUAUAUGGCAUGAUUUUUCGGACGAUAGACUGAGGAUUAGCUACCCUUGGGUUAUCUGAAUCUCUAACGAGAUAGCUUUUUAGCUGAAUUACCUUUAUUUGGUUGUGUGACAUGUUAACACUAUUCUUGAACAAUAAGUGUCUAUAUACUGUGCAAUAAUCUAGUGCAGAACAGUGGGGGUGGAUGUGGCGUGUGUGUGUUGUUGCACUAGAUUAUUGGCUCCCUUUUUAUUAUCGGAAGGGUAUUUUAUUUUGAAGGGCAAUUUAAAGGAAAUGGACAAGACGAACAAAUAAUUACUUUCCUUUUCCUUCAAUAUUUUUCGUUAUUCAUGUUUCAAUGUUCAAAGUUUUGAUAGUGUUUUCUUUACAUCCAUAUGAAAAAUAAUAUAGGUAUUUAUAAGUGAGUAUGAUCGCGUAGGCGCGAGAUGACAACUGACGUAGUUACCGGUGCGCGCUCACUUUGUGAGAUGGCGUCCGACAGACAGACAUUGCUGUGCUGUGAAGGUUUAUUGGACUGAUGUCUGUUGCAUAUACUUUUUGAUGCAGGUAUGUUACAAAUGACAAUUUAAUGUACUUUAUGUAUUAUUGUUAUUUAUUUUUUUUACAUGGUUAUUGUGCUCAUGAUGGCUCACUUUGUGAGAUGGCGUCCGACAGACAGACAUUGCUGUGCUGUGAAGGUUUAUUGGACUGAUGUCUGUUGCAUAUACUUUUUGAUGCAGGAAUGAUGCAAUAAUAAAUUCCAGUUGGAGUA